rnacentral:rRNA from 1 species
UACAGAGGUCUCAAGCGUUUGUUCGGAUUCAUUGGGCGUAAAGGGUGCGUAGGCGGCGCGGUAAGUCGGGUGUGAAAUCUCGGAGCUUAACUCCGAAACUGCAUUCGAUACUGCCGUGCUUGAGGACUGGAGAGGAGACUGGAAUUUACGGUGUAGCGGUGAAAUGCGUAGAUAUCGUAAGGAAGACCAGUGGCGAAGGCGGGUCGUCUGGACAGUUACUGACACUGAGGCUCGAAGGCCAGGGGAGCAAACGGG